ACCACCACAGGUAAUCUGGAAGCUGGUAACGGAAUAACUGUGUGUGUAGACGUUCCUGACUCGGUGACUCCAGUUAAAGGUCGCAGUUCCAGGUGAUAUUUCCAGAGAGGAUAGUAACUGGAGCGAACAAAUAUUUUCGUACUGCUACGGAAACGACGGUGAGCCAUCGGGGAGAGGGGAUGGCAAAUAACGGGAAUCUAUCGUCUCAUUUCUCUGCAAUUCUUGGUGUUCCGGAACAGGUGUCACUAUUUUUCCGGCCUUUGGUUGCGUUAGAGGGUAUUGACUUUCGUUCCGCGUUCUUGUUUUUAUUUGUGUUGUUGAUAUUACUACCAAUAGUUGCCAACAUGAAGAGGUCGAGGACAAGCGAAAUGUGGUCAUAUUUCGAAACUCUUGAUCGAGAGUUUGCGAAAUGUACUUUGUGCGGUAAGAAAUUAUCGUACAAAUCGACGACGACGAAUUUAAAAAAAACAUCUUCAGAAAUCACAUUUAAUUGUGAAUUUCUCUUCACAAAGACCUUCGGAGCUAGAUUUGGGUGAAACCCUUCCUGUAGAGGUGAUCCUUGGCACCAGUAGUGUGGAAGAGGAGCGAGAGGCACACCAACACCAGCAGAUGAGUCUCCGUUUAAUACUUGGGAUAUUAUAACAGUAAGUUAUAGCUCCAGAAGUCAGUCACCAGCAGCAGAUGUCACACAGUUAUAAAAUGGGAAGCUUGACGAAUAAGCUCCAGAAGUCAGCAGCAGCAGCAGCAGAUGUCACACAGCCAUAAUGCGAGAAGCUUGAAGAAUAAUGUGUUAUGGCUCCGAUAGUCUUCCAGCAGCAGCAAAUGUUACACAGUCCUAUAGAGGCAAACUUGAAGUAUAAAGUAAUAGUGUUUUGCAUACAAUGGCAAACUUGACCUUUCGCUUAAAAUGGAGUAUCGGCUUUGAAAUUUGGUCACUGGAUACAACUAUAUUAUCUUUCAUGUUGAUAGCAGCAAUCAUCAGAUUGCAAUCCAGUUAAGUACCUGUGAGGCAUGAGAUGUCAAAAACACUUGUGGGUUAUUGGUAGCCUGUGUCAAGGAAUGUGGCACCUCAAAGUUUAUAACUACUCAUAUAUGCAGCAACUGCUGAAGCAGCCUCUGGCAGUUUAUUGAAGUUCCGUGAACAAAGUGUUGUGUGGUCUGUUUGUGUAAAGUGAUAAAGAAAAAUGUUAAAGUGUAAUUGCAUAUGUAAUUGUGUAUAUAGGCUAUUUAAUCAUUAUUUUUGCUAGUUGUAAGAUCUAUUUUCAUGUAAAUCAGAACAUUGUAUAAUAGGUAACAACCGAAUGAGGCAGUGUAGCUAUUAACAGCACUGACCUCAUAUUCGGGAGGAUGGGGUUUGCUCUGUCUGGCCAUCCUGGAUCGCUAAGGCAAAUGCCGGGAUGGUUCCUUCAUCAAGGCCACGGCUGACCACCUGUCCCGCCCUUAAAGAGAUCCUUUAAACAUUGUGUGUAUACCCAUAUUUUGAAUUAUUGAUGUUUGUUGUAUUAUGUUGAGAUAUUCUUGGAUGAAAUAAAAAGUUUAUACAUUUGUA